CAGCAGCUAAAUGUAAUGUAAUGUAAUGUUAUGUAACGUGCUAACGUGUUUACAGGAGCGGCCUGUGUAAGCUGUGGUCUGUCCCAGACUGCAACCUGAUUCGUACACUCAGAGGACACAACACCAACGUGGGUGCGAUCGUCUUCCGCCCACAGGCCGGAGUUUUUCUCGACCAAUCAGAUGUCAGCUUGGCCUCGUGUGCUGCUGACGGAUCUGUGAAGCUGUGGAACCUCGAGAGUGAUGAGCCGGUGGCUGACAUCGAAGGUCACAGUGAGCGAGUGUCCCGAGUGUCAUGGCAUCCGUCAGGACGGUUCCUCGGAACGACAAGGUGAAACAACUGACCGAACC